UGGGGCUUAUUCCUCUCGAAUUUUCCCCUGGCAGCUCGAACAGUGAAAGAACGGCGCUGAGUGGUGGUGGCAGUGGUGGUGGGGGUUAAAAGGAAGGUGGUGGAGGGUUUACUGAGAAAGGAGGAGGAGAGGUUAGAGGGAUGUUUUCUGGUACGGGGAGAAGGGGUGCAGAGAGCGAGAGUGGUUGAGGAAGAAGGAGAAGAAGGAGGAGGAGAUGGGUAUAUGAGCUUUGUGGAAGCAGAAGCUGAAGUUGCUGAAAUUGCCAUUGAAGGAGGCUAGAAUUUAGAGAGAGCGAGAGAGAGAGAGGGAGGUGGGUGUAGGAGUGG
rnacentral:lncRNA from 1 species